GGGUAGAUGAUGAGACCUCAUACUGUCUCAAAAAGAGAUGAUGACUUAAAAAUCAUGCUGUAUUCUAAGGCCA
ensembl:snoRNA SNORD115 Small nucleolar RNA SNORD115